rnacentral:rRNA from 1 species
AUGGAACAGCUACAGAAAGGAGAUGAUGGACAGAUGGAGGGCUCCAUCGCAAACGCAUUGUUCGCAGAAUGGACAGUGCAGCAACAAUACAACACAACCGAUAAAGCCAUACUUCCCGCAGAAUUUGCAAACAUCGUGCUCGGUGUUAAAAUUGGAGAAAAAGGAGGACUAGAAGAAUUCAAUGAGGACGAAGCAUUGAAACAGUUUGCACCCCUUGUAACAGGGAAGGAACUUUUAAAGAAAAAGCUGAUUAUGAUACCUCACAACACAGCUAAACACUACACACUGUACGUGCUCAACAAGUACACGAGUUCAAUUUCCACAUCAUUAUCGUUGCUAGGGUGGCCUUCAGGAUACAAAGAUUAA